rnacentral:lncRNA from 1 species
AUGGUCAGGGCCACCAUGGGGUCAUGGCCACCAUGGGGUCGGUUGUGGCCACCACAGGGACGGUUGUGGCCACCAUGGAGUCAUGGCCACCACGGGGACGGUUGUGGCCACCACAGGGUCGGUUGUGGCCACCACGGGGUCGGUUGUGGCCACCAUGGGGUCAGGGCCACCACGGGGUCGGUCAUGGCCACCAUGGGGUCGUGGCUACCAUGGGGUCAGUUAUGGCCACCACGGAGUCAGGGCCACUGUGAGGUCAGGGCCACCAUAGGGACAGUCGUGGCCACCACAGGGUCAGUCGUGGCCACCAUGGGGUCAGGGCCACCAUGGGGACAGUCAGGGCCACCACAGGGAUGGUCAGGGCCACCACGGGGAUGGUCAUGGCCACCAAAGGGUCAGUCGUGGCCACCACGGAGUCAGGGCCACUGUGGGGUCAGGGCCACCACAGGGUCAGUUGUGGCCACCACAGGGACGGUUGUGGCCACCAUAAGGAUGGUCAGGGCCACCACAGGGAUGGUCAGGGCCAUCAGAGGGACGGUCAGGGCCACCAUGGGGUCAGGGCCACCACAGGGAUGGUCAGGGCCACCACAGGGAUGGUCAGGGCCACCACAAGGUCAGUUGUGGCCACCAUGGAUUCAGGGCCACCACAGGGACAGUCAGGGCCACCAUAAGGAUGGUCAGGGCCACCAUGGGGUUGUGGCCACCACAGGGACGGUUGUGGCCACCACAGGGUCGGUUGUGGCCACCACGGGGUCGUUUGUGGCCACCACGGGGUUGUGGCCACCAC